CUCACAUAAUGUCCGAUACACAUGGGAAGCUCUGAAAGUAUUUACUGAAUGAGUAACUAAAUGAGUGAAUGAAUUAAUUCAAAGCCAAGUUUGACGUUAUGUUAGAUUCUAGGAGAAGAAGACACAAUCUCCAACUUCGAUGCUGAUCUAAGAAAAUAACUGUAACAGUGUGUUCAAAGUCACGUUGGAGAGGAAAGCCCAGGUACAACAUUGGAGUUCAGCAGGAGAAAGGUGGAAGGAACAAUGCACUCCAUCUGAAAGAAACCAGGGAACGCUCAACUUCUAGAACUGUCCUUGUGGAAUAACUGUUUGGAAGUCGGGAAGACCACCGGAAUGACAAAACAACGAUCACAACAAAAACAAACACAAACUGAAACAGCAGCAGCUGGUAGUUCUACACAUGUUAGCACACCCACAGAUGGAGAAAACUUACAUGAAAAGUGAUGAGGCUUUUGUUUGAUUCCAGACAUGUCUUCCUCAGCAAUUGAUGCCAUUGUUAUGUUAUAAAAGAUUUUUAGCCAUGAGAAAGACGGAAAUUCUGCUAUUUGCAACAACAUGGAUGAACCUGGAGGGCAUUAUGCUAAGUGAAAUAAGUCCGUCAGAGAAAGAUAAAUACUGCAUGGUACCACUCAUAUGUGGAAUCUAAAAGAAAGCCAAACUCAUAGAAACAGAGUAGAAAAGUGGUUGCCAGGAAUUGGGGAAUGGGAAAAAUAGCAAGAGGUUGGUAAAAGGGUAGGAACUUUCAGCAAUAAAAUGAAUAAGAUCUUAGGAUCUAAUGAAAAAUAUGAUGACUAUAGUUGAUAACGUUGUGUUUGAUCACCGAUAUUUGCUAAGAGAAUAGAAUUUAAAUGUUUUCACACACCCAAAAAACCCAUAAACAUGGGAGGUGAUAUACCUGGAUGUGUUAAUUUACUUAACGGGAGAGAAUUCUUUCACUACUUAUACU
rnacentral:lncRNA from 1 species